rnacentral:rRNA from 1 species
GACGAACCACACAAACGUUAUUCGGAAUUACUGGGCUUAAAGGGUGCGUAGGCUGCGCAGAAAGUUGGGUGUGAAAUCCCUCGGCUCAACCGAGGAACUGCGCCCAAAACUACUGUGCUCGAGGAAGACAGAGGUGAGCGGAACUUAGGGUGGAGCGGUGAAAUGCGUUGAUAUCCUAAGGAACACCCGUGGCGAAAGCGGCUCACUGGGUCUUUUCUGACGCUGAGGCACGAAAGCUAGGGUAGCGAACGGGG